UACGGAGGAUGCAAGCGUUAUCCGGAUUCAUUGGGUUUAAAGGGUGCGUAGGCGGGCUAUUAAGUCAGUGGUGAAAUCCUGCAGCUUAACUGCAGAACUGCCGUUGAUACUGAUAGUCUUGAGUUUGGUUAAGGUAGGCAGAAUGUGUAAUGUAGCGGUGAAAUGCUUAGAUAUUACACAGAACACCAAUUGCGUAGGCAGCUUACUGAGCCGACACUGACGCUGAGGCGCGAAAGCGUGGGGAUCAAACAGGA
rnacentral:rRNA from 1 species